CGUUAGCGUGAAGACACAACAACAACGCGACUGGUUCUCUGAGGUCUGCUAGACAACUGUUUGUUAAGGAUGUGGAAAGUGUUGCUGGACAGGGCUCUCCAACUGCAGCAGGACCUGUGUCGCUCCACUAAACUCUAUGACCAGAUUAUGGUGCUUGUGCUCAUGGUGAACACUGCAACACAGGUGGUGAUGACAUUUGAAGGACUCGCACCAGCUUGGGUUUAUGAAGCACUGGAGGCAGUUUUCUUGGCUUUUUAUAUGAUAGAGUGUGUGUUAAAGCUCAUAACUUCUG